rnacentral:rRNA from 1 species
GUCUACAGCCAUACCACCCUGAACAUGCCCAAUCCUGUUUGAUCUGGGAAGCUAAGCAGGAUCGGGCCUGGUUAGUACUUGGAUAGGAGGCCACCUAGGAAGACAGGGUACUACUGUAGGUG